GUUAAGGUAUCUUUAGUACUCCAUGGCUUUAAAAUAUAAUUACCCUUUAAACAUGAGAUAUUGGCGCUUGGAUGAGAGAAGAUUACAUACCAUAGGAUCUCAAAUGAUUCUGAAAGGACCUCUUUUUUAUAGAUUAAAAACACCGUCAGUAACAGUAGUCAUGAACAACUCUGCAAUAGCAAACCAGUGUGAAUGUGUCCUGAGAGAAAAGAAACUGGUAAAGUCACAAAUGUUUGUGACAAAUUUCUGAGGGAUACUUUUAAAAAGCGAUGGGCUUCUUUUGGCAUUAACCAGAGUGCAUGCUCUCUGACACCAGUAACUCUGAUGGAGAGAAGAUUGCAGAGGUGCAAGGAAGUCACAAGUCUACUCUGCUGGGACAAACACAGUCCAAAAAAGAGGUGUCAGUGUUAGGAAAAGAGGUUGGGCUAACGUGGCCAGGGUAAUGUGCAGAAUCAGUGUACGUGUAUGGCAGACUCUACCAGCAAGCUCUGAUGGAGUCCUCAGCAGAAGCUUAAGUUGCCGUCCUCUGGUGUAAUCUUCAGGGGAGAGCAGUGAUGGACAAACUGUGGUUCGAACUUCCCCCUGCAGCAGUGGGUGUUGCUGGUGCCAAAGGAUUCAUGCUACCCCACCUUGUUCCAGCCUGAUGAAUGUGGCUCCUCACCUCUAUAACAUUUGGGUAUCUAUGAAUGCUGAAGAAAUUUCAGUCUUGCAUUUUAGGGUGUGAUGCUGCCAAAGACAAUAA